GACGAACGCUGACGGCGUGCUUAACACAUGCAAGUCGAAGGGAGUGGCGAACGGGUGAGUAACACGUGAGUAACCUGCCCUUUUCUUUGGGAUAAGCCUGGGAAACUGGGACAAAAACUGGAGGGUUGGGGUUGGGCUGGCGGCUUAUCGGCUUGUUGGUGGGGUGAUGGCUUACCAAGGCUUGGACGGGUAGCCGGCCUGUGAGGGUGGUCGGUCACACUGGGACUGAGAUACGGCCCAGACUCCUACGGGAGGCAGCAGUGGGGGAUAUUGCACAAUGGACGAAAGUCUGAUGCAGCGACGUCGUGUGGGGGAUGAAGGCCUUCGGGUUGUAAACUCCUUUCGCCCGCGGAAUGGUAGUGGGUAAAGAAGCGCCGGCUAACUACGUGCCAGCAGCCGCGGUAAUUC
rnacentral:rRNA from 1 species